rnacentral:lncRNA from 1 species
AUUCUGCCUGCAUGCAUGUCUGCAAGCCAGAAGAGGGCACCAGAUCUCAUAAUGGAUGGUUGUGAGCCACCAUGUGGUUGCUUGGAAUUGAACACAGGACCUCUGGAAGAUCAACCAGUGCUCUCAAGAGCUGAGCCAUCUCUCCAGCCCCCUAAGGUCCUGUUUUAAUGGCUGCAUGUUCCAGUGACACUUGGGACAUGUCUGCUCCUGGGAGAACCAAUCCACUUAAGAGAAGAUGAUGGGCAUCGAAGAAACUUACAUGGAGUUUACUUUCUUUAUGUUAAAGUUUCAGGAAAUUUCCAUCAAGAAAAGGGAACCACAAUCUUUCAGGAGCAGUUGAGGUGACUCUGGGCUAGCUACUGAGCUGGUGAACAUAUUCUCAAGCAAAGACAGAGGUCACACUUGGGUCUCCUUCAUCUACCUUGUGAAGAGC